UACGUAGGGGCCAAGCGUUUGUCCGGAUUUAUUGGGCGUAAAGAGCUCGUAGGCGGUUCGGCAAGUCAGCUGUGAAAUCUCCACGCUCAACGUGGAGGGGUCAGCUGAUACUGCUGUGACUUGAGUCCGGUAGGGGAGUGUGGAAUUCCCGGUGUAGCGGUGAAAUGCGCAGAUAUCGGGAGGAACACCAGUAGCGAAGGCGGCACUCUGGGCCGGUACUGACGCUGAGGAGCGAAAGCGUGGGGAGCAAACAGG
rnacentral:rRNA from 1 species